AUUAACUAAUGCCCAUAUUUUUUUCUUAGGUUUUUUUUUGGUUUCGGAUGGUCUAGGGAAGGACCCGGAAGUGUAUCUGCAUUCAUCGAAACUCGUGCGCCUGUUUUCCAGAUGCAAUUUGUAGGAAUCGUCAUUUUGACAGGCCCCUGAGAUCCGAGUUCCAGAAGCAAAUGAGGGAGGCUCUUCGGAUAACGAAGGAGAGACACGCCAACGAAUGCGUGGUCCACGUCCAACAGCCGCAAGGAAGAGGGCGGAGGAUAACUUGUGGAACGAUGAGGAAGAGGAAGAGGACAACAUGGAGGAACCGAGCACCUAAGAAUAUAAAAUUAUGAAAGUGAAGCCCAGAUAGAAGCCAGGAAAAUAGAGGAGAAGCGGCCCGACUCUGAACGCGUUCUUUUUGGUUUCGGAUGAUGUGGGGGAGGAUCCGGAAGUGCAUCUGCACUCACCGAAACUCUUGCGCGCAUCAUCCUCGCGAGACGCCUCUCUUCAUCCUAGAAGCUCCCGCAGCAAGCUGGCCAAUACAGAAUGCAAGGCAAAUGGAGAACCAGGUCGAGAAGAAGGUGAAUAAUGUCUCGUUGAACGUCGAUCCCAUGCUGCCUAUACCACGAG